UACGGGGGGGGUAAGCGUUGUUCGGAAUUACUGGGCGUAAAGGGCUCGUAGGCGGCCAACUAAGUCAUACGUGAAAUCCCUCAGCUUAACUGGGGAACUGCGUGUGAUACUGGAUGGCUUGGAUUUGGGAGAGGGAUGCGGAAUUCCAGGUGUAGCGGUGAAAUGCGCAGAUAUCAGGAGGAACACCAAUUGCGAAGGCAGCUCGCUGGGACGUUACUGACGCUGAGACGCGAAAGCGUGGGGAGCAAACAGG
rnacentral:rRNA from 1 species